rnacentral:rRNA from 1 species
UACGUAGGAUGCAAGCGUUGUCCGGAAUCAUUGGGCGUAAAGAGCGUGUAGGCGGCCCCGGUAAGUCCGCUGUGAAAGUCGGGGGGCUCAACCCUCGGAUGCCGGUGGAUACUGUCGGGCUUGAGUACGGAAGAGGCGAGUGGAAUUCCUGGUGUAGCGGUGAAAUGCGCAGAUAUCAGGAGGAACACCAAUUGCGAAGGCAGCUCGCUGGGACGUUACUGACGCUGGAGACGCGAAAGCGUGGGGAGCAAACAGG